UUGUGACAGAUCCUAUGUAUUGAAUUUAAGAUUCAAAUAUGAAUAAUUCCUUUAGAA
rnacentral:tRNA from 1 species